rnacentral:lncRNA from 1 species
GCAGAGCUGCUGUCAUGGCGGCCGCUCUGUGGGGCUUCUUUCCCGUCCUGCUGCUGCUGCUGCUAUCGGGGGAUGUCCAGAGCUCGGAGGUGCCCGGGGCUGCUGCUGAGGGAUCGGGAGGGAGUGGGGUCGGCAUAGGAGAUCGCUUCAAGAUUGAGGGGCGUGCAGUUGUUCCAGGGGUGAAGCCUCAGGACUGGAUCUCGGCGGCCCGAGUGCUGGUAGACGGAGAAGAGCACGUCGGUUUCCUUAAAUGGGAGUUUUGUGGUUCAUGAUAUACCUUCUGGAUCUUAUGUAGUGGAAGUUGUAUCUCCAGCUUACAGAUUUGAUCCCGUUCGAGUGGAUAUCACUUCGAAAGGAAAAAUGAGAGCAAGAUAUGUGAAUUACAUCAAAACAUCAGAGGUUGUCAGACUGCCCUAUCCUCUCCAAAUGAAAUCUUCAGGUCCACCUUCUUACUUUAUUAAAAGGGAAUCGUGGGGCUGGACAGACUUUCUAAUGAACCCAAUGGUUAUGAUGAUGGUUCUUCCUUUAUUGAUAUUUGUGCUUCUGCCUAAAGUGGUCAACACAAGUGAUCCUGACAUGAGACGGGAAAUGGAGCAGUCAAUGAAUAUGCUGAAUUCCAACCAUGAGUUGCCUGAUGUUUCUGAGUUCAUGACAAGACUCUUCUCUUCAAAAUCAUCUGGCAAAUCUAGCAGCGGCAGCAGUAAAACAGGCAAAAGUGGGGCUGGCAAAAGGAGGUAGUCAGGCCGUCCAGAGCUGGCAUUUGCACAAACACGGCAACACUGGGUGGCAUCCAAGUCUUGGAAAACCGUGUGAAGCAACUACUAUAAACUUGAGUCAUCCCGACGUUGAUCUCUUACAACUGUGUAUGUUAACUUUUUAGCACAUGUUUUGUACUUGGUACACGAGAAAACCCAGCUUUCAUCUUUUGUCUGUAUGAGGUCAAUAUUGAUGUCACUGAAUUAAUUACAGUGUCCUAUAGAAAAUGCCAUUAAUAAAUUAUAUGAACUACUAUACAUUAUGUAUAUUAAUUAAAACAUCU